rnacentral:lncRNA from 1 species
UCCAUUGAUUUCAUCCUAGCAGCCCUCAAGAAAGAUGCAGAACAUAGAGCUAAUUCAGAAUUUUGAGUCUUUGCCGAUGGGUUGCUUAGAUUUCAGGAUAGAGUGUGUAUUUCAUGUAAUAGUGAACUGAAAAGAGACAUCAUGACUGAGGUUCAUAGCUCAAAGUUUGUUAUGCAUCCCAAAAACACUAAGAUGUAUCAAAAUAUGUGACCCUGAUUUUGGUGGAACAUGAUGAAAAGGUAUGUGGCCGACUUUGUUUCCAAAUAUUUAGUAUGUCAGCAAGUCUAGGCAGAGCAUCAAUC